rnacentral:rRNA from 1 species
AUUGAACGCUGGCGGCAGGCCUAACACAUGCAAGUCGAACGGUAGCACAGAGAGCUUGCUCUCGGGUGACGAGUGGCGGACGGGUGAGUAACGUCUGGGAAACUGCCCGAUGGAGGGGGAUAACUACUGGAAACGGUAGCUAAUACCGCAUAACGUCGCAAGACCAAAGUGGGGGACCUUCGGGCCUCACACCAUCGGAUGUGCCCAGAUGGGAUUAGCUAGUAGGUGGGGUAAUGGCUCACCUAGGAGACGAUCCCUAGCUGGUCUGAGUGGAUGACAAGCCACACUGGAAGUGAGACACGGUCCAGACUCCUACGGGGGGGGAGAGUAGGGAAUAUUGCACAAUGGGCGCAAGCCUGAUGACGCCAUGCGGCGUGUAUGAAGAAGGCCUUCGGGUUGUAAAGUACUUUCAGCGGGGAGGAAGGCGGUGAAGUUAAUAGCUUCACCGAUUGACGUUACCCGCAGAAGAAGCGCCGGCUAACUCCGUGCCAGCCGCCGCGGUAAGAC